AUGUUAGCGGCGGACGGGUGAGUAACACGUGGAUAACCUACCUAUAAGACUGGGAUAACUUCGGGAAACCGGAGCUAAUACCGGAUAAUAUUUUGAACCGCAUGGUUCAAAAGUGAAAGACGGUCUUGCUGUCACUUAUAGAUGGAUCCGCGCUGCAUUAGCUAGUUGGUAAGGUAACGGCUUACCAAGGCAACGAUGCAUAGCCGACCUGAGAGGGUGAUCGGCCACACUGGAACUGAGACACGGUCCAGACUCCUACGGGAGGCAGCAGUAGGGAAUCUUCCGCAAUGGGCGAAAGCCUGACGGAGCAACGCCGCGUGAGUGAUGAAGGUCUUCGGAUCGUAAAACUCUGUUAUUAGGGAAGAACAUAUGUGUAAGUAACUGUGCACAUCUUGACGGUACCUAAUCAGAAAGCCACGGCUAACUACGUGCCAGCAGCCGCGGUAAUACGUAGGUGGCAAGCGUUAUCCGGAAUUAUUGGGCGUAAAGCGCGCGUAGGCGGUUUUUUAAGUCUGAUGUGAAAGCCCACGGCUCAACCGUGGAGGGUCAUUGGAAACUGGAAAACUUGAGUGCAGAAGAGGAAAGUGGAAUUCCAUGUGUAGCGGUGAAAUGCGCAGAGAUAUGGAGGAACACCAGUGGCGAAGGCGACUUUCUGGUCUGUAACUGACGCUGAUGUGCGAAAGCGUGGGGAUCAAACAGGAUUAGAUACCCUGGUAGUCCACGCCGUAAACGAUGAGUGCUAAGUGUUAGGGGGUUUCCGCCCCUUAGUGCUGCAGCUAACGCAUUAAGCACUCCGCCUGGGGAGUACGACCGCAAGGUUGAAACUCAAAGGAAUUGACGGGGACCCGCACAAGCGGUGGAGCAUGUGGUUUAAUUCGAAGCAACGCGAAGAACCUUACCAAAUCUUGACAUCCUUUGACAACUCUAGAGAUAGAGC
rnacentral:rRNA from 1 species